rnacentral:tRNA from 1 species
GCCUGGGUGGCUCAGUCGUUUAAGUGUCUGACUUUGGCUCAGGUCAUGAUCUUGUGGUUCAUGGGUUCGAGCCCCGUGCCGGGCU